UUAUGAGGCGAUGAAGAUAGAAUUCAUUUCUCGAUGCUGAUAUAAUAAUAGGGUUUUUGACCUUCCAUUUGGUCUUUAAUUCUGAUGACCUAUUUGUGCGUGUCUGAGCCUCUUUCAAUUCAUUAUAAUCUAGCGUUUAUUUUCUCAUUUGAUGAUUAUGAUCACCUAUGAAUUUAUGAAGGGAUUUGCGAUUACUAAGAAAUGCAAGCCCUCUUUUAUAACACUUCUGUGCUGCAGGUUAAGAAGUGCCAGACACCACUGUUGAAGGUAUGUGUUUCAUCUUCAAUUGGCUUGAUUGUCUUAUGUAUUUCUGUUGCCAGUCUUCAACAAAAUUCUCACAUAUUCAAGUUUCAAGAUCUCAGCUUGUGAAUAUGUUUAAGAAUCGUUUCUUAUCUUCUAAAGAUUUUAACCAAUUUGAUUUCAUAUAUCGGCGAGCUUGGAUUAUGUGGUUUAUUGUAAAAAUAGAUGAAAAAUGAAGGAAAGAAAAAGGGUAAACAAGAAUUGAGAGAGAUGAUCUGUUUUAGGAACCUGCAAUUUAUCAAAGCAUUUAUGUCCAUUCUGUCUUAAACCAAAAUUUUAGUACAUCUUGAUUUUUGUUGAGUUUCAUACCAUCUCAACUUUUUGGGGCCUGCCUAGUCUGAAAUGAGAGCAAAUUGGUUGAAAUUUAUGAUAUAUGGUUUAUUGAAAUUGAUCUUCUUUCAAUGUGGAAAGACAACCGUAAUUAAGGUUCUCUUGUCAUGUUAGAAAAAUUUUAUCCUGUUGGGCAGGGGAUCGGACCUGAUAGUUGACCUAAUAAGUGUUGACAAAUGUAAUUAGUUGAAAAAAUUGACUAUAUUUUAAACAAUUCAAUGAUAGAUAGCCACGUGGCAUUAUAUCAAGUAAUAUGUCAGUCAUUAUGUCUAUGUCGCAUGAUUGUUGAUUUAUAUCAUAACACAUCAUGGUAUGCCACUGUCCACUUGGCUGCCAGCUAAGCAAGAGGCCACUUGAGCCUAGCCAGUCUAGCAGCAAGCCGUUGAGGCUUCGCCAGCCACUUUCUCCGAAGUGAUGUAGAGCCUCGCAAAGGCCCAUCAAGGCCUUGAACGGGGUACCUUCAGAAGCAAUGUACGUUACCCCGCCAACGUAUUCUCUGAGGCUAUUUGGAACCUCACCAAGGCCCAAUUAAGGGCUUCAGAGGAUACGUCUUCCCAAGUGAUGAAACUUGUGACUGGUUCGCCCCUUCCUUAUUCUGAGACGAUGAGGAGAGAAACAAUCAUCAGCCGUAAAAAAAAGCUCUUAAAUCCGAUUCAGUUGAGGUGUGCUCAUCUGCCUUGAACAAACUGUUAUUACUGGCACAUCGAGCAUUGUGUAAACAAAACUUGUUAUAUGCCACGCUUUAGUUCCGCCGAAGUUCAUUUUCCAAUAUCAUACACGUUAUUUGAAAUGAAUGAGUUGAGCAAUGUGAAAUGGUUUUAAACAUGUAUUGGUCUUCAUCGUUGUUCCAGUACAAAAUGUGAUUGUCCUCAAGCAAUCUUGUACUUUUUUC
rnacentral:lncRNA from 1 species